rnacentral:rRNA from 1 species
GACGAACGCUAGCGGCGUGCUUAACACAUGCAAGUCGAGCGAGGCGACCACCUCCGGGUGGUCAGUCGAGCGGCGAACGGGUGAGUAACACGUGAGUAAUCCACCCGCGGUCCGGGGAUAACCUCGGGAAACUGAGGCUAAUACCGGAUGCCCGCUGCGCGGGGCGGCCCGUGCAGCGGAAAGGUCGGGGUGCGCAAGGGCUCCUUCCGACCGCGGACGAGCUCGCGGCCCAUCAGCUCGUUGGUGGCGGUAAUGGCGCACCAAGGCGACGGCGGGUAGCCGGCCUGAGAGGGUGACCGGCCACACUGGGACUGAGACACGGCCCAGACUCCUACGGGAGGCAGCAGUGGGGAAUCUUGCGCAAUGGGCGAAAGCCUGACGCAGCAACGCCGCGUGAGUGAUGAAGGCCUUCGGGUUGUAAAGCUCUGUCUUUUGGGACGAUAAUGACGGUACCAAAGGAGGAAGCCACGGCUAACUACGUGCCAGCAGCCGCCGUAAGAC